rnacentral:rRNA from 1 species
UACGUAGGGUGCAAGCGUUAAUCGGAAUUACUGGGCGUAAAGUGUGCGCAGGCGGCAGAGCAAGUCGAGUGUGAAAGCCCCGAGCUUAACUUGGGAAUUGCGCUCGAAACUACUUUGCUGGAGUGUGGCAGAGGAAGGUGGAAUUCCAGGUGUAGCGGUGAAAUGCGUAGAUAUCCGGAGGAACACCGGUGGCGAAGGCGGCUUCCUGGACCGACACUGACGCUGAGGCGCGAAAGCUAGGGGAGCAAACGGG